rnacentral:miRNA from 1 species
UAUUAGAUUGGUGCAAAAGUAAUUGCGGUUUUUGCCAUUAAUGUUUAAUGGCAAAAACUGCAAUUACUUUUGCACCAACCUA